GCUUUCUUAUAUCAGAUUAAUAAGGCGUUUCAAUAGAACAUCUUACCCCCAGGAAUUACCGAGUUGACCAGCUAUUAUAUAUAUAUAUAUAUAUACAUA